GCCGCACUGUGCUGCCUUCCCCUUCUCCCGUCUGCGCGCUCUCGCUCUCCCUUUCUCGCGCGCGGCGACAACUGGGCGACCGCCGACGGUGCCCUACGCCAGGUACCCAGGUCCUCGUCGGUCCCUUCGCCAAGUCUUCGUCGGGCCAUUUUGCCGGCUACUAACACACACCAGGGUUUUCAUGGUGGCGUGACCUGUCCCGGCCUCAAAAAUGUAUAUAAAGAAGGUCAUAAUCGAGGGGUUUAAGAGCUACAGGGAGGAGAUCUCAACAGAGCCCUUCAGUCCCAAAGUUAACGUAGUUGUUGGUGCAAAUGGAUCUGGCAAAUCAAAUUUCUUUCAUGCUAUACGAUUUGUCCUGAGUGACAUGUUUCAGAACUUGCGAAGUGAAGAUAGGGGUGCUCUUCUCCAUGAAGGUGCUGGACACUCGGUUGUAUCUGCUUUUGUUGAGAUCGUAUUUGACAAUUCGGACAAUCGUAUUCCAGUUGAUAAAGAAGAGGUACGCUUGCGCAGAACAGUUGCUUCAAAGAAGGAUGAAUACUACUUGGACGGGAAGCAUGUCAGUAAAACUGAAGUCAUGAAUCUGCUGGAGAGUGCUGGUUUCUCUCGUUCUAAUCCAUACUACGUUGUGCAGCAAGGAAAGAUUGCAUCCCUUACCCUGAUGAAAGAUUCUGAACGACUGGAUCUUCUCAAAGAGAUUGGUGGUACACGUGUUUAUGAGGAUAGACGGAAGGAGAGCUUGAAAAUAAUGACUGAGACAGCCAACAAAAGGAAGCAGAUUGAUCAAGUUGUCCACUACCUGGAGGAAAGACUCAGAGAACUCGAUGAAGAGAAAGAAGAACUAAAGAAGUACCAGCAGCUGGACAAACAGAAAAGAUCACUUGAGUAUACUAUAUUGGACCAUGAACUUAAUGAUGCAAGGAAUGAAUUAGCUUCGAUGGAUGAUAACCGAAGAAAAAUUUCUGAAAGCAUGUCCCUUGCGGACAAUGAAGUAGUGGAUGUCCGAGAGAUGAUCAAGAGUUUUGAUAAAGAAAUAAAAGUCUCAACUAAAGGGAUAAAUGAUACCAAGGCGCAAAAGGAAGAUGUUGAGAAGAGGCGUACUGCAGCUCUGAAGGUAGUUGCUCAGAUUGAACUUGAUUUGAGAGAUAUAAAAGACAGGAUUGUGAAUGAGAAGCGAGCAAAGGAUGAAGCAGCGAGGGAUUUACAGAGUGUGAGGAGAGAGAGUGAAAAGUCAAAGUCUGAAUUGGCUGAAAUUAGUAAGGUGCAUCAGACCAAACUAAAGGAAGAGGAGGAAAUAUCAAAGAGCAUUAUGGAUCGCGAGAAGCGGUUAAGUAUAUUGUACCAAAAGCAGGGGAGGGCGACCCAAUUCGCAAACAAAGCUGCUAGAGAUAAGUGGCUUCAAAAGGAAAUUGAAGAUCUCAAACCUGUACUUUUAUCAAAUAGAAAGCAGGAAGGUUUACUUCAAGAAGAAAUUCAGAAGCUUAAAGAUGAAAUCAAUGAUUUAACUAACUACAUUGAGUCUCGGAAAAACGAAUCAAGUAAGUUAGAGGAAGCACUUGCAAAAAGACAUAAUGACUACAACGAUUUGAGGAAGCAGAGAGAUGUGCUUCAAGAAGAAAGGAAGUCAUAUUGGAAGGAGGAAUCUGAGGUGACAGCUGAACUUGAUAAGCUACAACUAGAUCUUGUAAAGGCAACAAAAAGCUUGGACCAUGCAACUCCUGGGGAUAUUAGGAGAGGCCUGAAUUGUGUUAGCAGAAUCAUUAAGGACCAUGAUAUGACUGGAGUUUUUGGUCCUGUAUUAGAACUGGUUGACUGCGAAGAGAAGUUCUUUACAGCUGUUGAGGUCACUGCUGGAAAUAGCUUGUUCCAUGUGGUUGUCGAGAACGAUGACAUAUCAACCAAGAUCAUUGAAUAUUUGAAUUUAUAUAAAGGUGGAAGGGUGACAUUUAUACCACUGAACAGAGUGAAAGUUCCAGACCUCAGCUGUCCACAAAGUCCUGAUUUUGUUCCGUUGUUGAAAAAAUUGAAAUAUCGAGCUGAGCAUCGUCGUGCUUUUGAACAGGUUUUUGGCAGGACAGUCAUAUGCCGAGAUCUGGAAACUGCGACAAAAGUUGCACGUAGCAAUGGUCUAGAUUGCAUCACACUUGAUGGUGAUCAAGUAGGGAAAAAAGGUGCUAUGACAGGAGGUUUCUAUGAUUCUAGACGCUCAAAACUAAAGUUUGUGAAAAUAGUAAGGGAUAACCAGACAGCAAUUGAGAAAAAGAAGACUCAUCUAGAGGCUGUCAGAAAUAAGCUAACAGAUAUAGAUAAGAAAAUUACAGAUUUAGUUACCAAACAGCAACAAAUGGAUGCUGAACGUGAUCAUGCCAAGUCGGAGUUGGAACAAUUUAAGGUUGACAUUGCCAGGGCUAUGAAGCAAAAGUCGUCACUUGAGAAAGCCCUUGGCAAGAAGGAAAAAUCACUUGACAACAUCCGCAACCAAAUUGAGCAAGUCCAGUCUAGCAUUGCAAUGAAGAAUGAUGAAAUGGGCACAGAGCUUAUUGAUCAGCUAACUUCAGAAGAAAGAGAUCUCCUUUCACGAUUGAAUCCUGAAAUUACUGAUUUGAAGGAGAGGUUUCUAAUGUGUAAAAACAGUCGGAUUGAGAUUGAAACACGAAAGGAAGAAUUAGAGACCAAUUUAUCAACGAAUCUUAUCAGGCGUCAGAAAGAGCUAGAAGCGAUAAUUUCGUCUGCAGAUUCUAGAACGUUGCCUUUGGAAGCUGAGGCAAAAGAGCAAGAACUGAAAAGUUCCAAGAGAAAUCUUGAUGAAUUAACUUCAUUAUUAAAGGCUAAUGUCGAUGCCAUAAAUAACUUCACCAGAAAGAUGGAUGAUCUGAAAAGAAAAAGGGAUGAUCUGAAGACUCGUGAAGCGAUUUUGGAGCAGACUGUACAAGAUGGCGCCAAAGACUUGGAACAGUUGAUGAACAGCAGGAGCACUUAUCUAGCCAAGCAAGAAGAGUGCACGAAGAAGAUCCGAGACUUGGGCUCGUUGCCUGCUGAUGCUUUUGAAGCGUACAAAAGGAAAAACAAGAAACAGCUACAUAAGAUGCUCUAUGACUGUAAUGAGCAGCUGAAGCAGUUUAGUCAUGUGAACCAAAAGGCUCUUGACCAAUAUGUGAACUUCACAGAACAACGCGAACAACUGCAGAGAAGGCGAGCUGAACUUGAUGCCGGUGAUGUGAAAAUUAUGGAACUCAUAUCGGUUUUAGACCAAAGGAAGGAUGAAUCAAUUGAGCGCACAUUUAAAGGGGUUGCAAGGCACUUCCGUGAAGUGUUCUCUGAGCUGGUGCAAGGUGGUCAUGGAUAUUUGGUUAUGAUGAAGAAAAAGCUGCUCCUUUGUUGCAGUGACAAUCACACAUGUUUACUCUGUUUCUAAUGAUGUUUUAGAGCUAUUAAUGAAUUGCCUGGAGUUCCCUGAAAUUUUCCCCUGCACCUGCAUAUACAUGCUGUUUUAAGAGUAAGUUUGUCAGUUUGCUCUGACUUUCUAAUGUUUAUGUACACCUUUCUGUUUAGGAUGGGGAUGCAGUUGAUGAUGAGGAUGAGGAUGAGGAUGGACCUCGUGACCCAGGCCCUGAAGGGAGAAUAGAGAAGUAUAUUGGUGUGAAAGUCAAGGUUUCCUUUACUGGCAAGGGAGAAACUCAGUCUAUGAAACAAUUGUCAGGCGGACAGAAGACGGUGGUCGCCUUAACACUGAUUUUUGCUAUCCAACGAUGUGAUCCAGCUCCAUUUUAUCUGUUCGAUGAGAUUGAUGCUGCUCUGGAUCCGCAGUACCGAACAGCAGUUGGAAAUAUGAUCCGUCGUCUAGCUGACAUGGCUGACACUCAGUUCAUCGCCACCACAUUCCGGCCGGAGAUUGCCAAAGUGGCUGAUAAGAUAUAUGGCGUGACACACAAGAACAGGGUGAGCUACAUCAACGUGGUGUCCAAGGAGCAGGCGCUGGACUUCAUUGAGCAUGACCAGACGCACAAUGCCAGCUGAGGCUGCUGCGUAUUGAUCUGCAAGCAGAUGCUACCGCAGAAAGGAUAGUUCUGGUUCUGUGAUGGAUAUUCUGGCCCAUGGUUGGAGUUGUGUAUAUAGCUAACUAUUGGAUAAGCUUGUUUAACUAGUUGGCGCUUAGAUGCGCAAUCUGUGAUUGUGAAUGUAGCUACCACUUGGUUUGGUACCAACUUACAAUUGGCAACCGCUGAUUAGACGUACGUUACAUGUUGCUUCAAUGUUGUCCCAUCA